CGGUGGAAAGAGUCCGGAGCAGGAGACGAGCGAACCUGGCGGGUGUCGUGGAGGCUGUGAACGGCAAAAAACUGCUCUCUGUGGAUGUGUUUUCUCUGUUUUAAUGGUCGGAGGACAUCAUACGGCGCACAGCCGAGGAACACACUCCAAGGUUUGAUGGACGCGGGCUUCAAUUUGACAGAGCACCACAUGUUAGCUCACUUUAUUUUUUGAGCUACUGGCUAUUAGCAUUACCCGGACUGGACUUGCAGAGGCUAGUUAGCUGCUGAUGCUAACGUGGUAGCCUCUGGUAGCUGAGUGCGAACCGGUGCUAACAUCCACUGCUGCAGGUGGGAAACCAAGAGGCGAGACAGGAGCGCGUUAUAUCUCACUGGAGCAUACAGUGUUAGCCUCAUCUGGCUCAAUAACACACCUUGGCUUGGAUACUCGACUACGAGGAGCCGCCCGGAGAGGCCUCUACCCCCGUGUCCAGCUUCACAUUUACCAGCCUCCCACCUUCUACCUUUCACUGCCUGUGGCUCAGCUUCACUUCAGAGGGGAAAAUCUGCCUGACUGCUGAUAAUACCCUGCACUACACCACCAGCGUGUCCCCUGCACAGUUCCUUGGCUGACAGAAAGAAUUGACCCUUAGAGAGGGACCUGGAGUGGAGAAGACGAAUUGUGGCUUGUACAAAGGCAGACAGAG